UCCCCGUUGCCGGGGCAGUCUAAUUAGAAAAAUACAACUAAUUACAAGGGUUGCGCUCGUUGAUGGACUUAACCAAACAUCUCACGACACGAGCUGACGACGGCCAUGCAUCACCUGUCACUUCGUUCAAUAAAGCACUCAUUGCUUUCACAAUAAUUCGAAGGAUGUCAAACCCUGGUAAGGUUCGUCGGUUAUCAUCGAAUUAAAGAACAUAAUCCACCGCUUGUGCGGCUCCCCGUCAAUUCCUUUAUGUUUUAGUCUUGCGACCGUACUCCACAGGCGGGAUACUUAACGCGUUAGCUUCGCUACUGGGGGGGUCGAUACCCCCAACAGCUAGUAUCCAUCGUUUACGGCGUGGACUAC
rnacentral:misc_RNA from 1 species